rnacentral:misc_RNA from 1 species
GAUGAAGAACGCAGCGAAAUGCGAUACGUAAUGUGAAUUGCAGAAUCCAGUGAAUCAUCGAGUCUUUGAACGCACAUUGCGCCCCCUGGUAUUCCGGGGGGCAUGCCUGUCCGAGCGUCAUUGCUGCCCUCAAGCACGGCUUGUGUGUUGGGCCUCCGUCCUCCUCCCGGGGGACGGGCCCGAAAGGCAGCGGCGGCACCGCGUCCGGUCCUCGAGCGUAUGGGGCUUCGUCACCCGCUCUUGUAGGCCCGGCCGGCGCUUGCCGACACAUCAAUCUUUUUUCCAGGUUGACCUCGGAUCAGGUAGGGAUACCCGCUGAACUUAAGCAUAUCAAUAAGCGGAGGA